UAUUUGUUUUACUGAAGGUAAAGUUCAAAUUAAAGUAGAUAUUUGGGUGUAAUUAGAGCUUAGGAAAAAACUAAUUUUCUUAUACAGAAUGGGUGUGUUUAGUUCGCCUAUUUUUUAUCCUAGAAUUGAAAUCGGAAUAGACGAAUUCGUUUGUCCGUGUUUGGUAUGCGAAAUUCCCAUUCCGAUUCCGAUUCCCAGGUGAAUAAGUAUUCCUCCAAUUACCCCUUUUUCCAAUCCGGCCUUGGAGACCAGAUUGGAAAUUGAAUCCGGACGGAAUGGAUUUGUUUGAAUUAAAUUUAAUUUUUUUAAUCUUAUUUUUUAAUUAAAAUAUAAGUUUAAGUUUAAAAAUUAUAUUUAUAAAUUUUAAAUUUAAUUUGAACUUAAACUAAACAUUAAAAUUCAAUCAAGCAUUUCGAAUCUAAUUUAUAAAUUUUACUUUUAAUUUAAAAUCUAAAUUGAAAUUAUAAUUUUUAAGUUUGAAUUUGAAUAAAUCAAAUUUUAGUUUAUAUUUUGAAUUAUCCGCUCAAUUUCAAAUUUUAAUUUUUCAAAAAAUUAUAUUUAAAAUUUUGACAUCAUUUUAAAAUUUUGGCCUAUAUUUUUAAUGUUUAAUUUUCAGUUAAGUUUAAACUAAUAUAUUAUAAAGAUAAAAUUGAUAUAUUAAUUUGAUUACGUUUUUAAUAUCUGUUCGAAUCAAACACCGACAAGAAAAAUGAUUCAUUCCAAUUCAGAUGGUGAACCAAACAGAAUAAGAUAAUGAAUCAUUCCGAUUCCAUUUCUAGCUUGUUAUCAUUCCAAUUUCAAUACCGAUUCCGACUUCGAACCAAACACACUCAUAUUUCUAUAACUGGAAAAUUGAGGUUUCUCUAAUUCUGCUGUUUAUUUAGUAAAACGUGAAUGGCGUAAAAGUUCGAAGGGCGAGAAAUUGAUCAAUAUUUUACUAUCUUUUUUCUCACUUCAUUUCUCUGGCUUUUGGGGAAUUUUGAGUUUCAACCAAAAGUAAAGUUACGAUGAGCCAAACAACGAAAGCGGACACUUACGGUCCGAAAAUCACUUCGCCCCUCUCCACUUUCGGUGCGAUGUAAUAAGUGCCAAACUCCAAAAGGGACAAGAUCACAAGUAGUUGCAUGACCCAGGGGGGAACCAAGGCUUAAAGAACAGGGAGCAUGAGGUGGCUUUUCUAUUACAUAACUGAAAACUUGUUGUAACCCACAUAAUAAUAAUAAAAAAAAAAAGAAAAAAAAAGAAAAAAAAAGAGGACCAUGCAUGUGCCAUUAGAGAGACCAUGGGGACAGCUACUUCUUUGCUGUGGGUGGAGCCCCAGAUGUGUAGAUCCAACUAGGAAACAGAAAAGAAAGGGUAAAUUGCAACCAAUACUAGUCCUUAAGCUUUUAAGUGCUCCAGUAACUGUUCCAUUUUAGUUCUUUUCUUGCGGAGAAUUUAUUGCUUGCACCUAGUGCAUCUGUAUAUUCGUAGAGCAUAAUCCGUCGGCCCUUCAGCAAUCUCAUACUUUCAAUCUAAUCAUUCAAUUUCUGUAGGGGGAUAUGACUCAUCCCAACUGAAAUGAAGCGUCAAAUGUCGAACUUUACUUAAAAUUUAAUGACUGAAGUGAAAUUUUGGCAAUGCAAUUUACUGGAAAGAAAGUAUGGAACAAACGGGGGACAAAAAACAAAAGAAAUACAGCUUCAUUCGCAUUCUUUGCUGAAGUACAUGAUCCUACGCCAAAUACUUAACAGGAACUGGAGAUUGUUGUGCACAUGCUAUCCAUUUGCUUGUGGAUUUUUUUUUUUUUUUUUUUUUUUUUGAGAUCUUUCUAUCAAUCUAAUGUUGGAGACAUGAGGGGUAAUUGCUUCUUAAUCAGAAAAAACUCCUCCAAAAAGUUUUCUUCAUGUAUGUUAAAUAAUACGAAAUAAUUGCGAUUCUCUAAAAAUUUAGGCCGGCAGAGAACGGCGUUUAAAUAUUUUUAUAUUUAACACUCCUCUCAUGUCUGGACUCGAGGCUUUUCGCAAGGUCCAUGAUGCGGACGUAAAUUAAAUGGAAGAAAAUUAAUAAUACUAAGAGUUUGAUGUGGCUCGAACUUAGAACAUUCUACUUUGAUACUGUGUUAAAUAAUACAAAACAAUCGUUAUUUUCUAAAAACUUAAGCGGCUAGAGAAUGGUACUUAAAUAAUUUUAUAUUUAGCAAUGUAGAAAGGCAAUAGAUGCAAUCUCCUGCAUAAUGAUUUUGCUUUUUUAGUUCUUAAAAAUUACAUAUUCAUUAAAUGGCAAGUGAUAUCUUCAUUUUAUCUUUCAACCUUUUUGGUUCAUGGUGGAGAACAAAUCUAUUCAUUCAAGAAAGCCAAAUAUGAAAUGGUCCGGUCCUUAAAUCAUGAAGUAAGUGUAAAUAUUUUUUUCAAAAAAAAAAAAGUUGAGUGUAAAUAUUUUAUGAUGAGGUCUAUUUCAAGCGCAUUUAAUUCAUUACCCAAAAAAAAAAAAGAAAAAAAAGAAAAAAAAAAGUAGAAACUGUUGAAUACAUAAUAUUAAAACAACAUUCUCUUGAGAAUAACAGUUAUUUCACAUUCUUAAACGUGGAUUACAUUAUUGCAUCUGAAUCACGAAAUCCAUCAGUUUCAUUAUUGGACCUACUUGUUUCAUCCGAAACAGCAACUCAAAUGCUUCUCACCAAUGAAAAGGAUUAGAGCAACGGUUAAGACACAAAGUAAUAAAACCAAAUUAUUUGAAGGACAAACACAUAUAGCUGUAUUAGUAAUCAGGUUUCAGAAAAAUACAAAGCUAAUAUUAUCUCUCACAACAUCUCAAAUCUAAUGCAGAUCUAGGAAUAAUUAUAUUUUGGCACAUACAGAUAUGCAACCACAAGGUGAGGCCUACUUUGUUUAGGCAAGUGGAGAGAACGGCAUACAGCGGUGGCAUUAAAAGUGUUUUGCUUUUAAUCAAACUCCGACUAUUUGCUGUAACAGAAGCUGAAGUUUCGAAUUAGAGCUUCUGUUCGGAGGCUUAGUAGUUCAACUUCCUUUCGAAGCAAAAGCUCUAAUUCUAAAGAACCUGUAUCAGGAAACAAUUUCAGAGAAAGUAAAGGAUAAAGACACAGCAACUACUUUAACGAUUGAACAAGUUUCUAAUUUCGACUUUGUAAUGAACUUUAUAAAUCAAGCAUUCAAAUAAUUGUUACACAAUUAAUAUCAGUAUAACUGGAUGUGGAAACUGGCACUACAAUCCGUUCGUGGUAAGUACUGGAUUCACAACAUUCUCUGUUUUCUUUCAUUUUUCCCAUCUUCUACAAGUACAUAAGGCGUGAGCCCGGAUAAUAUGCCACACUAAAUAAAUAAAAUAAGGAAGACUACAUCCUACUACCAAGAACAGCAAUUGUGACAGAAGAAUGUUUCUGCAACAGGAAAUACCACACAAAAGGAGAAAUAGAUGAUACGAAUCGUAUUUGGUCUUCCAUAGAAAUAGCUUCUUAUUCUUGUGGGAGCUUCCAUCAACCCUCAAUGGUUGCAAAAACGAAGAAAAAUGAACAUAUAUAUAUAUGAAUUCACGUCGGAUAUAUGGACUUGUGCAAUAGAUAUUCUAUCAAUAAAAAUAUGAUCUUCUUGUCGAAAGUAGUUUGGGGGAGCAAAGCUAAAUAAAACUUUCAGUGUCUUCGGGUUUCUGAUGCUAACUUAUUUGCUCACCAAUAAGAUCGAGCCCAACAAGAAGGAAUGUCACACCUUGAAAGAGGAGGAAGUAGAAAUGAAUCCCUUGGGCAGAUAGAAGGCUUCGAACAGCUGCCGUGAGUAGCAGAAGAGCGAGGGCAAGCUCUUUCUUGUAGAUCUUAUUUGCUUUUUUGACAGGAGGGGCUUCUGCUUUUGUUUCUGCUGCUUCCUGUUGUUGUCCCUUCAACUUAGUCAGCUCUACAAGUUCUCCUUCCGAAAGCCCUCUGAGAAGCUGAUUGUGGGUUAAGGGCUUCGAAUCCCUUUCUGCAGCUGCGAGUAAAUCAGAUUCCGACGACCUCCCCGCUUUCUUAGUAACAACCCAUUCAUAGGAACUACCCAAUUGAAACAGUCCAGAGACCAUUGCAUUGAACUUAGUUACCGACAUGGUGUUUUCGAAUAGCAAAUACGGCACAACAAAAGGGAAAGAUUUAGGGGCUGGUAGGAUGUUAAGAAAGGACAUAGCGACGGGUAUGUAACAGAUCACCCAAAUGGGCAAUUCAGCCUCCGGCACGAACAUGGUUAGGGGGAGAAUAACGCAGAAUAAGGUGAAGGAAUAGAAUGGAAGUACGAGCUUCCUCAAGAGGAAAAAGAGAAGCACCAAGUUCGCCUUCUUCCAUGCAGAUAUCUGCAAAUACAAGAAAAAUAGCUCCUUAAGAAAAGUUUAAGCUGUUAGAGAAUGACAUUUUCUACACGAAACUUUUAUAGACCUAAGAUGUGGACUUGGAGUUAAUUAAUUGUGUGUAGGUUGUUUCCUACUUUUGAAUCAUAUAGUGGAUGGGCCAAUUGGGAAACAACCAAAUGAAUUUAAAAGUUAAAGCUGUUGGAGAAUGGCGUUGAAUAUUUUAUAUUAAUCAAGAAAAGGCACUUUUGAGAGGUGAUAAACCUUAGAAGUAAUGAUGGCAGGAAGGCACAAACGAAAUAGAUGCAUCGGCCCAGAAUGCCAUCGGUGCUGCUGUUUCCGGUAAGCUUCAAAUGACUCAGGAACUUCACACAGAACCUACACAUGGGGACUCGAAUAAAAAAAAUCACAAACGGACUACAAAUGUUAAAUGCUUAUUUUUACAGCUGGAAGUAAUUUAGAUGAAUCAAGAAUCGCACCCUAACGUCAUUUAGGAAGAUGAACUUCCAGCCAUUAAGAUGGGCACGGACGGCGAUAUCCAUGUCCUCCACAGUUGUCCUCUCAAGCCAACCCCCAGAGUCCUCCAAUGCUUUGAUUCUCCACACACCAGCAGUUCCGUUGAACCCGAAGAAGUUUAAGAAUACACCAUUCACCUGCUGCUCCACUUCAAAGUGGAAGCAUAAGUUGAUAUUUUGGAGUCGGGUCAACAAAUUCUCACCCUUGUUCACGAAGCUCCAGCGUGCUUGAACUAACCCAAGUUCAGGAUUUCCCUUCAUUAAGAAAAACGAGUAGAUUCGUAGUAAGUACAAUGAGGAGUACACAUACUGCUAAUAAAAACGAAGUAAGUAAUGUAUUUGAGGGACAAAUAUAAUACCUUAAAAUGGGGAAUUGUUCUCUUUAGGAAAUCAGGGUUCGGCUGGAAAUCAGCAUCAAAAAUGGCGACAAACUCGUAAUCCUUGACAUAGUCGCAGCUCAUGGCGGACUUAAGAUUUCCGGCUUUGUAACCCGUUCGGAUAAUCCGGUGGCGGUAGACAAUGUUAACACCCCGUUGGCUCCACUUGAAUACCUCUGCUUUUAUUAAAAGUUUAAUGCUUUCGUCAUCUGAGUCAUCAAGAACUUGGAUUAGGAGACGGUCUUUCGGCCAAUCAAUCUGGCAAACUGCAGAUAUAGAUUGCUCAUAGACCUGAAAUGAAGUCAAAAUUCGUAAGAAAGGGAAUAAUAUAUAAUAUCAAAACUCAUUUAUGUUAAAUAUACAAAGUACAACUAUGUAGUUGAGUACAAAAACAUUAAUAAAAGCAAAAAAUAGAACAUAACAAGGAUGAAGGGGAAAAAAAGAAAUAGAGUAGCUUAAUUACCUCUCUCUCAUUACACAUAGGAAUCUGAACUAGAACCAUAGGGUAGUCGUAUCCACCCUCGAUAUCAUCCGAUUUAAACGGAUCACCCUCUAUCAUCGGCUUGAUCUUCUUGAGCUUGAUCCAAAAGCAACCGACACACAAGAUCAGCCUAUCGAGCGACUGAAUUAUGAAAAGAACAAUGCAGAAGUUUGACAAGACUUGGAUCGGGUACGCAAUGUAGUCGGCCCGGAAGACGAGCCAUGAGAGAUAAGCAUCAUGCAUCCACCCACGAAUCUCUUCGCUCUCGGGUACGUGGAGAUUCUCCGGUAAGUGCAAAUGCGGCUUCUGGAAGUGCCAUCCUUUCCAAUAAGCAAUCAAUUCGAACGCGAGCGCAAGCAGAGAGAGCAGCAAGAAUGCUCUAAGGAACUUGAAAAGCAGCUUCCCUUUCUCGGGCUUGUCGGCCUCGAGAAGAGCUUCCGGUUUGCGGGCAAAUCUCUUCCUGAUGGCUGCGAGCAGGGCGCAGGAGCCAUUCGCGAGCCAAGAAAUGCACCCGACCGCACGGUGAGCCCUGAGGAGCAGCACCCAUGUGAACUGCUUCGCGUUCUUCCCCCGCCCUUUCGCGGUGGACUGGAACGAGCCGACGUCGGGACCGUCGAUCUCGACCAGCGAGUAGUUGGGGUUCUCCAUCUUCACCACCACAGGAGUGCCCUUUCUAGUGUCCUUCCCCCACCAAUCAGAAAGAUCCAAGCUUGGGGCCAUUUCACCCAAUUUUGAGAUAAAAUGUCCCUAUCACAAGCUCUAGAUCUUCAACAACCCAAAACCCAAAUUUGAGGGAACUCUCACUCCCAAGCAUCAAAAUUGGAUCUUUUCCAAAAAGGAACUCAGUGACCCAUUUGAGUGUACCACAUUUCUAAACCCAAUGCAGCUAAUGAAGAGGUUUUGGGAGAUCACCAUGGUGGAGUAGUGCUAGGGUUUUAUGUCUCCCCUCACUGCUUCUCCAGAGUUCCACUCAGGACAACAUUGUGAGGGAAGGUAUCUGCAGUUGUAAAGCUCCACAUCAUGUGGGAAUUUAUUCAAAUGGGUUGUGGGCAAGCAAAUCCACCACACUUUUCCACCAACUUUUCUUUGUUUUUUCUUUUUUUCUUUUUUCAAGAUCUUACCAUGGACUCAGUGUGAAUCCUUCACUCCCCAUUCCCUUCGGUUUCUUUCCUAAAGCAACAAAAUUGUUGAUGGAUAGAACAAAAAUUGCUGAAAAUAUAGCACAAAAUGAGCUCAAAAAUGAGGAGCAAAAUAUAUGAAACUAGAGUUAAAAAUAAGGGGAAAAAAAAAAGGAGGGAACUUUACAGGGAAAAUGCAGAAUCAAAGAUGAGAGCUUUUCAGUGUUCCAGAUCCAAGUAAGAAACUGGAAGAUGACACUGCACUCUUCAAGCUCUGAGCAUCUCUCCCAUCCACAUAUAAAUAAAUGUACACAGUAGAUAGAGAGAGAGAGAGAGAGAGAGAGAGAGAGAGAUAAAUAUUAGAGGUAGUUUCAUCUUAUUAAGAUAAAGUUAUUACUAAUCAGUAAAUAGUAAUUAACUGCUGCUACUUAGUCAGAAACUCAAAAACAAGGUUGAGUGAUGAGGAUUUUGGAGGCUUUCAGCAGCAGCAAGAAAAGGAUCAGAUGGGCACAAGCCUGACAGUCAGCACAUCUCUUUUUUAACUCUUUUUUGCUGCUGUCUUUUGAGUCAAGUAUUCCUUUCUCCCCAUCAUCAAGUCUUCAUACUGUGUCAAAAAAAAAAAAAAAAAAAAAAAAAAAAAGGGUGAAAAUUUUCACCUCAUAUAGAAUUUUUUAGCCCGUAAAUCUCAUUUCGUAUUUCAAUCUCCACCGUUUAAUUAGUAAGUUACAGUUUUUUUCUCCACACAAAAUUUCGAUAUUUGAUUAAAAAUACAAAAUUAUUGAUACAUCAAUAAUUCACUUUGCAUGGUUGUACGAACGGAAUGACUACUGACAAUAAUUUUAUCUCUAACGUUACGUGAUAGCAAAUGUUAAAGUGAUGCAUUUUUUAAAAAUUUGUGGUGCCGAACUUCAACGUUUAUGGGUGGAAGUGAAACAUUAAACAACAAGUACAAGAGUGCAAUUUACCUUAUUUGAAAGAGUAAAACUUAAAAUAAAGUUAUGUUGAUUCUAUUACUAGUAACAUAGUUUAUUAACUAUAUAUGGGUCUAGAUGUAAAAUGUAAAAUACACCAAUGUAGCAGAGUUAAUGUAAAAUAUUAACAAUUAAUCAAUUAAAAUCAGUACAAAAAACAAAAAAAAAAAAAGAGCUGUUCACAACUAGAUCUUAAACAUCGGUCGUUAAGCUGUCAUUAGAUUAAAUUAGUCAAUAAAUCCAUUGUCAAACAGGAAAAUUGGAUACGUAAUCUACUGAUUUUGACCCUUCAACCAAAGGAUUUUUUAUUUACUAAUUCCAAGCCCUUUUUCUUUUUUCACUAACUCCUAAAGCACAUGAUCAUUUUCUCUCCAAUUAUUUUUUUUUU
rnacentral:lncRNA from 1 species